CCUACGGGAGGCAGCAGUCGAGAAUCAUUCACAAUGGGGGAAACCCUGAUGGUGCGACGCCGCGUGGGGGAAUGAAGGUCUUCGGAUUGUAAACCCCUGUCAUGUGGGAGCAAAUUAAAAAGAUAGUACCACAAGAGGAAGAGACGGCUAACUCUGUGCCAGCAGCCGCGGUAAUACAGAGGUCUCAAGCGUUGUUCGGAAUCACUGGGCGUAAAGCGUGCGUAGGCUGUUUCGUAAGUCGUGUGUGAAAGGCCCGGGCUCAACCCGCGGACGGCACAUGAUACUGGGAGACUAGAGUAAUGGAGGGGGAAGCGGAAUUCGCGGUGUAGCAGUGAAAUGCGUAGAGAUCGAGAGGAACACUCGUGGCGAAGGCGGGUUCCUGGACAUUAACUGACGCUGAGGCACGAAGGCCAGGGGAGCGAAAGGGAUUAGAUACCCCUGUAGUC
rnacentral:rRNA from 1 species